GUCUAGGUUGGGCAUGGUUGUUACUGCCUCCAGCCCCUUGGUUACUCCAAGAAAGAUUGGGGUGAUUUCGCCACGAUGGGUUGUAAAAGUUGGAUUGCAAACCUUGCCUUCCUCGGUUCUGGUUCUGAUUACCUAUGUAGUACAUGGAUUCUGGGUUUGACGGACAUUCUUCAAACACAUAUCCUUCCCCACAAUAGACACA
rnacentral:lncRNA from 1 species